rnacentral:rRNA from 1 species
GAUGAACGCUGGCGGCGUGCUUAACACAUGCAAGUCGAACGAUGAAGCCCAGCUUGCUGGGUGGAUUAGUGGCGAACGGGUGAGUAACACGUGAGUAACCUGCCCUUUACUCUGGGAUAAGCCUGGGAAACUGGGUCUAAUACUGGAUAUGACUUCUCAUCGCAUGGUGGGGGUGGAAAGAUUUAUUGGUCUUGGAUGGACUCGCGGCCUAUCAGCGUGUUGGUGAGGUAAUGGCUCACGAAGGCGACGACGGGUAGCCGGCUUGAGAGGGUGACCGGCCACAAUGGGACUAAGACACCGCCCGGACACCUACGGGAGGCAGCAGUUGGGAAUAUUGCACAAUGGGCGCAAGCCUGAUGCAGCGACGCCCCGUGAGGGAUGACGGCCUUCGGGUUGUAAACCUCUUUCAGUAGGGAAGAAGCGAGAGUGACGGUACCUGCAGAAGAAGCGCCGGCUAACUACGUG